CUUUCUCGGGGAAACUCUAAUUCCUAAUACAUACUACCUACGAAAGCAAGCGACGGACGGAUGAGUGAUGCCUACUUAUCUGUCUGGUAGUGGUGGAUAAGGACCUUCUUGCCUUGCUCUCUCUUAUGAGACUAUAUCGGAUAAUAUAUAUAGGGGGUAAAGAGGCCUCCCGGGGACAAUACCUGUCUGUGCUGAGAGAAGGAGAUCUCCCACUGCGGCUGAGACACGCCCCCACUCCCACACGAGCACCACUGUGGAAUAUUGUGCACUGUGGGAAAGCUGAGCCCGCCAUGUGCCGUGUGUGAAGAAAGUCUUCUUAUUGUGUAGCACUUUUUAUUGAGAGGAAAGGACUCUUCUUAAUACACUGCGAUUCUAUGACUUUAGCUGCAGAAUACACAGCGUAUAUCUCUGUGCCCACCCGCGCGAUAAUACAGAGUGUGCACGCGA
rnacentral:rRNA from 1 species